CAGGAAAAGGGAAUUUCAUGGAAGCACACUGAAAGCAUGGGUUCUUUUCCUUUUGGGUUCCCACUUGGUGGGGUCUCCUUGCAGCUUUUGGAGAGCCCCUAGGUGACCAGGCAAAAUGACAGUUCCCUCCAGCUGGUCCUCAGAUGGGCACAUCUAUUAGCCUCUGCUCUUGUAAGAAGUUAGCUGCAGAACCCACGUGUGAAUCCUUGUAGAACUCUGGAGAAGAUCAAAUGGGAGCUUGGAUGUGGAAGCUCUUUGGAAACGAAGAAGUACUCUGCAAAUGAAAAGGCAUAAGAAUGUUUAUCACAGCGUGGCAUAUAUUGGAAGUUUAGUAAAUGAAGAUACAUCCAAUCUGACAUUCCAUUCACAACCACAAAGAGGUGGAAGAGUAAACUGUUCCUGUUUCUCCAUCUUGACAGGAAGCAGAAGUUCUCCUGAGCUGAUUUUUCUUCUUGCCUUAUACUGGGUUCUUUAACACCAGAACAAAAAUAAAUAAAUAAAAGAAUCUUCCAGAAAUUCACAAAGAGACUUCAGGUCAGGAAAGCCUGAACUCUCUCAUCCAACACCUGUUCAAGUCGGAGGAUGCUGAUUAAUUCAUGAUGGAAAGGUAUCAAUUUCACAGCCCAGACCUCUACAUUCUUGAAAUGCUCUUCUCAUGGGAGACAUUAAAUAAGCUUUGAAUUAACUAUCCCUUCUCUGAAACAAUCAGAUGAGAACAGCUUAACUGGCUAAGCAGAGAGUAAGCCAAAGACAUGGAAUGUACAGGAUGUACCACAAACAAUUCUGACAUAUGAUUUAAUCUAUGUGUGACUACAUUUUAAAUACAUUUGGGAAGGACUGAACAAUGACGUGGAGCCCAUCAAUAUUGGUACUGAAAAUGAGACAGACCUUGUAUUGAAGACAGCGUAACCCCCAAGAGGAAAGAAACUUGGAGCCCUGAAUCAGAGUAGAAGACAAGCUGAACACCAGCCUUGGACUGUUGUAUGAAUGAAAAACAAGUUUUGAGGCUCCUGUUCAUUCCAUUCCAACCUGGCUGUUCUCAAGGGCAUUAGAAGAAGCAAGAAAAGAAGAUAUGGUGACCAGUGGUUCACAGCAAUGCCCAGAGGAGUUAAAAUUGGUCUGAUGAAGAGUGUCUAGCCCUGCAGCGUUGGGAGGUAGGAAGAAGGAUGUUGCAGAAACUCAGCAGCCUGGGUGUCAAGGCACAUAAAUCAAGAAGGCCACUUUGGGGAGCAAAUCAAGAAACCAAGUUGACACCCAGAUAUGGAUAGUGAGUAAAGCUACUGUUAAGUGAAAUAUGCAGGACUUUGGGAUGUGGGUACCCAUCCCAAGCACACUUUUCAGCUAGGUUAAAUUUAGGCUUUAUAACGGGCAUCUGAGGCCUAUUAGUUUAUUCUAAAAUUAAAAUAUGAAGAGUGUCUAGUAUAUGCUAGGCAUCUUAUAAACUGUAUUAGGAUUGCUUUUAACUGCAAGUUAUGAGUCAAUUAAUGGUUAAAUAUAACAGACACUUUUGAAGUAAGGAGUCCAGUGUUGAUAUAGCACUCCAGAGAUGUCAUGAAAGAUCCAUGAGUUUCCAAUUUUUGUUAUACUG